rnacentral:lncRNA from 1 species
UGAUGUUAUAACUUUAUCCUUUUUUAUCAUGACGUAUAUCAUUAUCUCUUCCCUUUUCAGAAUUUACCUUGUUAACUCAAUUGUAAGGGCGAAUUCAUGGACAAAAAAGUAUUAUUGUAGACAAAUAAAUUUUAACGAAAAUUGAUCACGUGGUCAUCAUUUCACCACUUGGUUUUUACCUUAGAUGUCCUUUGACCCGUACUUACGGCAACAUUUUUAAAGUGGUACUGUAUUUCUUUUAUUCGGAUUCUACAAGUUUUGCGUCCACUGGUUCGGGUGGUUAAGAUCCUCCCUGAUAUUAGUCUCAGUGUCUAGGGAACAUUCCCCGGUCGCUUCAGGACGCUAUGGAUUAUUGUGUGCUCAUCAAACAAAAUACGCGGCGCUUCUGGUCGAUCUCGAAAAAACCUUUGACAUAUUGUCUCAUAAGUUCAUAAUUUUUAGGUAAGAUUUCCUUUUUGGUGUCGUAAAAAUGGUUUCAGCAAUUCUGCGAAGUGCUUCGUCAAAGAUUGAUUUACCAGGAGCCGAGUAGCUCAACAAAUUUUUGAUCGGAAGGGGAGCUUGGCAGGGUGAGCUACUUUCACUAUCCCUCUUCAUCAUAUCAAUGAACAGAAUAUACGAGAUGCUUAUGAAUGAUUCGAGUAUUGAAGGUCUAAAAACGGGAAACAUGUCGUUAAAAUGCUUGCGGUAUGCAAACGACCUUACUGUAUUUCUUACAGGGUACGAAAAUGACUUACUUAAAUCUAUUAACUCUUCCAUGGAGGUGCUCCAGAUUUUCUGUAGGAAGUCAGGACUUACAAUUAAUCUGGGGAAGACAGAAAUUUUGUCGAACUGUGAAGAAUUCCUUAGGCCACACUUUGGUAACUUUGUGUUCGUUACGUCAACCUCUCUACUUGGAAUUGAAGUCACUUUGUCCAGCCAUGAGUCUAGAAGCAAUAACGAAAAUAAAAUAAUGAAUAUGCUCCUAAUAAGUAUCAUGAUUUAUAGGAUCACUCCUCUCCCUAGGUACGAAGCAAUGUUAGCAUAGAACAUUAACACCCUUCCAAAAGUUUUUCAUCUAAUGACGUACCUCCCAUUCUCAGUCGAACUGUGUGGUUAAGUAUAUAAGAUUAGAACAAUCUAGCUUGGAAGCUUUCGAGGGCUUACAUAGCAGAAGAUAGAGCUAAUACUCCAACAAACGGCUGGGGACUUGGAUUAGUCAUUAAGUCAAUGUGGCAAACAUUAAACUUCUCCUGGAUCAAAAUACUCCUUGACUGUGAAGAUUUCUGGGCUAAAAGAAUUAAAGAAAAGUUUAUCGAAGUUACUAAAUACAACUUUUUGGGCAGAGUAUGUAUAGGGCCAACGAACUCCCUUCAGUGACCAAAAAAUUGGACGGUAUUGGCGAUACAUGGGAUCAUCAUGGGCCGGUAUUUUCAAUUCCGUAGUUCCCCUUCUCGGCCCUAACGAGCCAUUAAAUUUUAACCCGAGACUGAGGAGUGGAGAUGAGUUUGCCAACGAGGUCUACUUAUAUUCAGGUUGUUAAUUCCUCUGCCAGGGGGUAGUGGAUUUGAAGGACUUUAUUCUAUCAUGGAGGGCUCGAAAGAGUUUUUCACAGCUUGGGGGCCAUGUGUCAAACGGGCCCCCGAUUCCAUUCUUCUUCGCUGUGAGCUGUCUGAAAAAUCAGAAAAUUAGAAGAACCGUAUUCAACAGUCAAAGAAGUACUAACCCCGAAGUCCACGAGAGGAGAAGAAUGGAGAUGCUUGGUCUAGACUGGAACUCUUCAAAUGUGAGUCCGCGUGUGGUUUUUUCGCAACACAAAGCAAAAAUGUUUUAUAUAUGAAUUAGCAACAUCAUCUAUCUUUACCAACAAGAUCGAGACCCCCUGAGGAGUGGCUUUGUCAUUUUUGUGGAACUAUCACCGAGAAUUCCUUUCAACUCUUUUAUUUUUGCACUCGUAUAACCCCUAUGGUGAAGGUAGUAGAGGCUGAGAUCUGGGUCAUUAUAAGAAGAGAUUGAGAAUUCCGUGCCUUACAAUAGGAGAGUCUGGACAUUCUACAGAUGAAACUGGAACCAGUUUCCAAAAUGACAACAACUCAAACUACUGAAUUCUAGCCUGAUAUACGAUAGUGUUUCACACAAACUGACGAAUUCUGGCCUAAUUCAGGGGACUAUACAUGCAUAUGUACAUAUUAAAGACAUAAAUGAGGCAAUUCAUCGUAUACUCAAUUUUAAUGAUGAAAAGCUAAGUUAUCUGUGCAAUAAUAUCAAAAAUAUAGCCGCCUGGUUUCCUUGCACCAUAAGAAAGCAUUGCAACCCCAAAAUGGCUUGUGGUACCACAAGAUACGAGAUGCUACUUCGACGAGAAUUUCCUGUACAAAAUUUAAGGACCUUGAGAAGACGGUUGGAAGUUGUGAACUUCAAUCCUGGUACUUUAGAGGACGUAAUUACUUUGUUGAAUUGAAAGCUCAAAGUUUCCCUACUAAUGAACACCAUUGUUCUUUAUAACCAUCUCCACUUCUAGAAGACAAUCUAAGUAUGCGUUUAAUGUCAGAAUAUAAAGAGAACAUGGAUUUACAUUAUACCUUCCGAGAUCUUUUUGCUAAGUUACACAUUAAUGGCUAUGUUGGAUGAAAGAGAUAAAAAUAAAAACUUGAA